AGUGAACGCUGGCGGUAGGCCUAACACAUGCAAGUCGAACGGCAGCACAGUAAGAGCUUGCUCUUACGGGUGGCGAGUGGCGGACGGGUGAGGAAUACAUCGGAAUCUACUUUUUCGUGGGGGAUAACGUAGGGAAACUUACGCUAAUACCUCAUACGACCUACGGGUGAAAGCAGGGGAUCUUCGGACCUUGCGCGAUUGAAUUAGCCGAUGUCGGAUUAGCUAGUUGGCGGGGUAAAGGCCCACCAAGGCGACGAUCCGUAGCUGGUCUGAGAGGAUGAUCAGCCACACUGGAACUGAGACACGGUCCAGACUCCUACGGGAGGCAGCAGUGGGGAAUAUUGGACAAUGGGCGCAAGCCUGAUCCAGCCAUACCGCGUGGGUGAAGAAGGCCUUCGGGUUGUAAAGCCCUUUUGUUGGGAAAGAAAAGCAGCAGGUUAAUACCCCGCUGUUCUGACGGUACCCAAAGAAUAAGCACCGGCUAACUUCGUG
rnacentral:rRNA from 1 species